rnacentral:rRNA from 1 species
UAGGGAAUCUUCGGCAAUGGGGGGAACCCUGACCGAGCAACGCCGCGUGAGUGAAGAAGGUUUUCGGAUCGUAAAGCUCUGUUGUUAAGGAAGAACGAGUGUGAGAAUGGAAAGUUCAUACUGUGACGGUACUUAACCAGAAAGGGACGGCUAACUACGUGCCAGCAGCCGCGGUAAUACGUAGGUCCCGAGCGUUGUCCGGAUUUAUUGGGCGUAAAGGGUACGCAGGCGGUUUAAUAAGUCGAAUGUUAAAGAUCGGGGCUCAACCCCGUAAAGCAUUGGAAACUGAUAAACUUGAGUAGUGGAGAGGAAAGUGGAAUUCCUAGUGUAGUGGUGAAAUACGUAGAUAUUAGGAGGAAUACCAGUAGCGAAGGCGACUUUCUGGACACAAACUGACGCUGAGGUACGAAAGCGUGGGGAGCAAACAGG